UAGGGAAUAUUGGACAAUGGGCGCAAGCCUGAUCCAGCCAUGCCGCGUGAGUGAUGAAGGCCUUAGGGUUGUAAAGCUCUUUCGCGCGCGACGAUGAUGACGGUAGCGCGAGAAGAAGCCCCGGCUAACUUCGUGCCAGCAGCCGCGGUAAUACGAAGGGGGCUAGCGUUGUUCGGAAUUACUGGGCGUAAAGGGCGCGUAGGCGGUCUAUUGCGUUGGGUGUGAAAGCCCCGGGCUCAACCUGGGAUGUGCGCCCGAUACGGGUAGGCUGGAGAACGGAAGAGGAGAGUGGAAUUCCCAGUGUAGAGGUGAAAUUCGUAGAUAUUGGGAAGAACACCGGUGGCGAAGGCGGCUCUCUGGUCCGUUUCUGACGCUGAGGCGCGAAAGCGUGGGGAGCAAA
rnacentral:rRNA from 1 species